UACGAAGGGGGCUAGCGUUGCUCGGAAUCACUGGGCGUAAAGGGUGCGUAGGCGGGUUUUUAAGUCAGGGGUGAAAUCCUGGAGCUCAACUCCAGAACUGCCUUUGAUACUGAAGAUCUUGAGUUCGGGAGAGGUGAGUGGAACUGCGAGUGUAGAGGUGAAAUUCGUAGAUAUCUGGAGGAACACCGGUGGCGAAGGCGGCAUCCUGGACCAACACUGACACUGAGGAGCGAAAGCCAGGGGAGCAAACGGG
rnacentral:rRNA from 1 species